rnacentral:rRNA from 1 species
ACCUAGAGGAAGUAAAAGUCGUAACAAGGUUUCCGUAGGUGACCUGCGGAGGAUCAUUAUUGAAUUCCAAUUGGAUAAGAUAGCUGCUGGCUUUCGGGCAUGUGCGCAUCUUGUUCAUUCGCCUCUCACCUCUGUGCACUUUUCAUGGAACGAUCGGUGGCUGUUGGCUUUAUGGCCGAUGAUCGCAGGUUGCUUCUGUGUGUCUUAUAAACUUCAGAAUCAGUUUAGAAUGUAUACCGUGUACCUACACAUUUAAAUACAACUUUCAGCAACGGAUCUCUUGGCUCUCGCAUCGAUGAAGAACGCAGCGAAAUGCGAUAAGUAAUGUGAAUUGCAGAAUUCAGUGAAUCAUCGAAUCUUUGAACGCAUCUUGCGCUCCUUGGCAUUCCGAGGAGCAUGCCUGUUUGAGUGUCAUGGUAUUCUCAAUUCUCUUGGUUUUUGCCGAGAUGAUAUUGGACUUGGAGGCUAUUGCUGGCAUCAUCUUGGAAGGCCGGCUCCUCUUAAAUGAAUCAGUGUGAACAUUCACUUUAUAUUUGGUGUGAUAAUUAUCUGCACUAUGUUUGAGUGAUAGAGCUUCAUGCUUCCAAUCGUCGCAAGACACUGCUUUGACUUCUGGCCUCAAAUCAGGUAGGAUUACCCGCUGAACUUAAGCAUAUCAAUAAGCGGAGGAAAAGAAACUAACAAGGAUUCCCCUAGUAACUGCGAGUGAAGCGGGAAAAGCUCAAAUUUAAAAUCUGGCAGUCUUCGAUUGUCCGAGUUGUAAUCUGGAGAAGUGCUUUCCGCGCUGGACCGUGU